CCUACGGGUGGCAGCAGUGAGGAAUAUUGGUCAAUGGCCGGAAGCCUGAACCAGCCAUGCCGCGUGAAGGUCAGUGCCCUAUGGGCUUUAAACUUCUUUUGUGCGGGAGCAAUAAUGGUCACGUGUGGCCAGACGAGAGUACCGUACGAAUAAGCAUCGGCUACCUCCGUGCCAGCAGCCGCGGUAAUACCGGCGAUGCAAGCGUUUUCCGGGUUUAUUGGGGUUAAAGGGUGCGUAGGCUGUGAGGUAAGUCAGCGGUGAAAUGCCCCCGCUUAACGGGGUGAAGUGCCAUUGAUACUGCCUUGCUGGAGUGCGGAGGACGUGGGAGGAAUGUGUGGUGUAGCGGUGAAAUGCAUAGAUAUCACACAGAACACCGAUUGCGAAGGCAUCUCACGAAUCCGCGAUUGACGCUGAUGCACGAAAGCGUGGGUAUCAAACAGGAUUAGAUACCCCUGUAGUC
rnacentral:rRNA from 1 species